rnacentral:rRNA from 1 species
AUUGAACGCUGGCGGCGUGCCUAAUACAUGCAAGUCGAACGCAGGGGGGACGGGUGAGUAACACGUGGGUAACCUCCCAUCAGAGGGGAUAAAACUUGGAAACAGGUGCUAAACCGAUACUGAUGGAUGGACCCGCGGUGCUUUAGCUAUUUGGUGGGGUAACGGCUCACCAAGGCCACGAUGCAUACCCGGCCUGGAAGGGUGAUCUGCCACACUGGGACAUAGCCCAGGCCCAGACUCCGACGGGUGGCAGCAGGAGGGAAUCUUCGGCAAUGGACGGAAGUCUUACCGAGCAACUCCCCGUUGUUGAAGGAGGUUUUCGGAUCGUUAAACUCUGUUGUGAGAGAAGCGGUAUCUAACCGGAGAGCCACGGCUAACUACGGGCCAGCAGCCGCGGUAAUAC